rnacentral:rRNA from 1 species
GACGAACGCUGGCGGCGUGCUUAACACAUGCAAGUCGAGCGGUAAGGCCCUUUCGGGGGUACGACGAGCGGCGAACGGGUGAGUAACACGUGGGUGACCCGCCCUCAGCUCUGGGAUAAGCCUGGGAAACCGGGUCUAAUACUGGAUAUGACUCCAUGACGCAUGUUGUGGGGUGGAAAGCCUUGUGCGGCUGAGGAUGGGCCCGCGGCCUAUCAGCUUGUUGGUGGGGUGAUGGCCUACCAAGGCGACGACGGGUAGCCGGCCUGAGAGGGCGACCGGCCACACUGGGACUGAGACACGGCCCAGACUCCUACGGGAGGCAGCAGUGGGGAAUCUUGCGCAAUGGGCGAAAGCCUGACGCAGCGACGCCGCGUGAGGG